GCUAUUUUGGCAGAUAAGUGCAUUAGAUUUAGAAUCUAUGAAUGUAAAAUUUUAUUUACAGGUAGCA
rnacentral:tRNA from 2 species